CACCCUCACGGAUGGCACCUGGAGAGUUUCCAGUACUCUACCAGUCUUGGCUAUGGGAGGGAGAGUCAAGCAGAGGCAUUCCCCUUCUGUUCCUAGUUUGGGCAGUGGCUAGUGAGUGGAAGGCAAUCUGCUACAAGU